UACGGAGGGUGCAAGCGUUAUCCGGAUUCACUGGGUUUAAAGGGAGCGUAGGUGGGUUGGUAAGUCAGUGGUGAAAUCUCCGAGCUUAACUUGGAAACUGCCAUUGAUACUAUCAGUCUUGAAUACCGUGGAGGUCAGCGGAAUAUGUCAUGUAGCGGUGAAAUGCUUAGAUAUGACAUAGAACACCAAUUGCGAAGGCAGCUGACUACGCGAAUAUGACACUGAUGCACGAAAGCGUGGGGAUCAAACAGGG
rnacentral:rRNA from 1 species